CAGGUCGCCCGCCCGGCUGCCCACGUUCGACCGGCGAGCGGCCAGCAGCACGCGGGAGCGCGCUGACCGCAAGGAGCGCCGCUCGCCGCCGCGACCCAAGCCGCUCGAGCCUGCGGCGACUCGGCGGAGCCCGGCAGACAGAGUGUGGGAGGACAGGAAAGAGGAGGAGCGGCGCCGGAGGGAUGACCCACGCGAGCGCCAGUGGGACCGGCCUGCCCGCCCGCCGCCCGACUACGGCCGGGAGCCGCUGCCCUACGAGGAGGUGGCGCUGCUGCCGCCGCGCCGUUUCUCGCCUGGUCGGGAUGGCAGGAGGCCACUGCUUGGACCGCCUCUCACCGACGACCGGCCCUCCCGACCGCCUUACGUCCGCCACGGCGACGACCGGCGCAGCCUGGACCGGCUGCUGCCGCCCCGCGCCGACGACUGGCUGCCGU